AACGAACGCUGGCGGCAGGCCUAACACAUGCAAGUCGAACGCUCCGCAAGGGGAGUGGCUGACGGGUGAGUAACACGUGGGAACCUACCUCGAGGUGCGGAACAACCAAGGGAAACUUUGGCUAAUACCGCAUGUGCCCUUAGGGGGAAAGAUUUAUCGCCUUGGGAUGGGCCCGCGUCGGAUUAGCUAGUUGGUGUGGUAAUGGCGCACCAAGGCGACGAUCCGUAGCUGGUCUGAGAGGAUGAUCAGCCACACUGGGACUGAGACACGGCCCAGACUCCUACGGGAGGCAGCAGUGGGGAAUAUUGGACAAUGGGCGCAAGCCUGAUCCAGCCAUGCCGCGUGUGUGAUGAAGGCCUUAGGGUUGUAAAGCUCUUUCACCGAUGAAGAUAAUGACGGUAGUCGGAGAAGAAGCCCCGGCUAACUUCGUGCCAGCCGCCGCAGUAAGAC
rnacentral:rRNA from 1 species